GUUCAGUAAUUUUCGUGUCUGCCCUUCCAUUAUGUGACUGAAGAAAAAAUUCCAAAAAAUAGGUAACAAUUGUAUCGAAAAGAGAAAAUCGAGUGCACCUUUUUAUGUUAGGGCGUGUUUGAGUUGAGUAUUUUGUCUUGAUAUCGUUCAAAGUAAGAAUAUUUCAUACAUCGUCUCGCUUCAGAUUCUAUCAUUUUUUAUAAAUUAAAGCUACAGGUUGACUUUAUAACACAAAAAAAUAACAGUACUAAAAGAUGAAAUAUAUGGGUCAAGUGAAAUACCUAUCUAAUGAGUCACAAAAACAGGGAAGGUGUGUUCGAAUAGCUAUUUUUUUACUGAAAGUACUUGACGACAGUCUUACAAGUUGGAUGAUGAAAAUGCAUAUCUUCGAAAAAUUCUAAUUUUUUGUGUGUGAUAACUAGGGUUUAUAGUCUUCAACCACUAAAAAAAUCUAGUCUGCCCUUCCACGAAAUAUUUAAUUAGAUUUUUUUUUAAAUGUUUAUGAUUUUUCGAAAAUUCCACCUAACAACCGAUCAGACAAUAGUUUUAAGUUGAAUCAAUGCAGACAAGAUCAUUAACUGAUGCUCAUUAGCUAGUUGAUACAUUUGUCUUUUAAAAUAUAACUGACAUAUAAGGAUCGUAUUGGUGCAAUGUGGAUAAAUUUAUCGGUUUCCAAGAGCAAAAUUGGUAGCGCGUCAUCGCUACAAUGGCUUCCAUUUUUACGAUUGUGAAAAUGAACUGGCGUAAUGGGGAG
rnacentral:lncRNA from 1 species